CAGUGCUCAAUACUACUCCCAAUAAAUAUAUACUCAUGCUAAAAUGUAUAAAACAUAUUCUUUCUCAAUUUUGAGGUAAUUUCUCAAAAUAUCCUCUUUAAAGAGGUAAUGCUCUGAAAUAUCUCUAAACUCGUUAACUCAUUUAGAAAUCAAAAUAUCUUUUUUCUCAAUGUAAAAAAGUGAUACAUUUGGGAAUACUUAGUUCCCUUAUACUCUUACUCAAAUCAUGUUUAAAUCUCUUUCUCAAAACUCAUCUUUACUUUCUCCAAAGAUCAGUUUAAGACAAAAAUAUUUACUUUAAAAGAUUCUCAAAAAUUAUAACUCAAAAUAGGGUUCAUGCUGAAAUAUAAACAUGAACACCUCAACUCAAGGAUCUCAAUAACAAUAUAGAAAAUUCAAUACUAAGAAAUCCAAAACUCACAACUCAAUGAUACUACUCAUCUCAAGAAUACUCAAAAUUCAUGAUAAAAUCCUAGAUUACUCUUUUACUGAAUUUAGAUAGAUGUAAGGCGUGAGGACGAACAUAGUUCGCCACUAUGAUAGCCUUACAUACUUGGAAGAACAAAGUUCUUGGUGAAAUAGGUGAAAACUCGGAGAACGCUUAAAACCUUAGAUUUCUCCUCUUGGAUCAUUGCUCUAAGACUUGGAAGCGCGUUAAUGAACGUAAAAGGAUUGAUUAACACUGUUCAAACCCUUAACUUGGUGUAAAAAUAUCGUGGUUUAGACUUAGAAGAGGUGGGAAAAGACUAAACUAUCCCUCUUUAAAACUAACGAAAACCUUCCACAUGUCCAUCUACGAUUCGUGGUUUGAUCUACGGACCGUAGAUCCCAUCUGUGGAAUUUAUAUUGAAUUUUAAGGCUCAAAAUUUUAUUAUAUUAGUCCAAUCUACAUACUACAUGUAAACCUCCUUAAAAUAUGUGAAUUCCAAUAGUACUCGGGGAUCACAAGCGUAUAGCAUUUUGUGUUUUGUUAAUCCUCUUGGUAAAAUUCAUGAUUUUAAUGUUACUUAUAAGAUAAUGUUGAAUUCUCAUACAAAUAAUCGAGUCCUGGGUAUGGAGAAAAUCCUGUUGGGAGCGCCACCCCCGAAUGGGCGCUGCAGUGCGCAAUUCGAAUUUUAGUCGGAACUCCAAUGUGGGCUCCGGACACCAAAUGGGAAACCAAAAAGACUUUUUCAAAAGGAGCUAACUCCAAGUGAUGUUGGAUUUUAUAGGCUUAUAUACCUANNNNNNNNNNNNNNNNNNNNNNNNNNNNNNNNNNNNNNNNNNNNNNNNNNNNNNNNNNNNNNNNNNNNNNNNNNNNNNNNNNNNNNNNNNNNNNNNNNNNUUGUGUGUGUUUGAUUGGGCUGAAUAAUGUAGAAUUAUAUUGAAAUUAAAUUUGCAGGUGGGCAACAGAAGCUGAGUACUGCUACUGUCAAAAAUAUUGCAGAAAAAGCGACGGACAGCGUGGUUUAGUCUGUCGCUUUUUUGAGUUUUAAUUUUUUUUAAAACCCAGAAAAGUGAUGGACAGCGUGGUUUUUUCCGUCGUUUUUUUUAGGUUUUUUUAAAAAAAUUCAAAAAAAAAAAGUCGAAAAGCGACUCAGUCCGUCGCUAAAAGAGACGCAGUCCGUCUCUAAAAGCGACGCAGUCACUUCCGUCGCUUUUUAGCUCGUCGCUUUUCAAAAAGCGACGGACUGCGUCGCCCUGUAGAAAUUAAAAAAAAAUGAAAACUAAAAUAAAGCGACGGACUCCGUCACUUUUUUAAAAAAAUUCAAAAAAAAAAAGUCGAAAAGCGACUCAGUCCGUCGCUAAAAGAGACGCAGUCCGUCUCUAAAAGCGACGCAGUCCGUCGCUUUUUGAAAAGCGACGAGCUAAAAAGCGACGGAAGUGACUGCGUCGCUUUUCCGUCAAUUUUGACCAAAAAAGCGACGCAGUCCGUCACUUUUGCCCGUCGUUUUUCCACAAUUUUUUAGUAGUGGGAGUCGGCACUUCGCCAAAUAGUUCCACGAAGCAGUACUAUAUCGCCCAAUGGUCUAGAAUGUGAAGAUGCUGAAGGCAAUCACGAAACACCGAUGAGACAGACGAAGGGCGAGUCGCCGAAGUCAUUUGGCGAUAUCGACUAACUUCACCGAAAGAUCAGUCAGCGUUAUUUUUUGAAGUCUAUAAAUACUGAACUUGUUAUUCAUUUUAAAGAGUCGAACAUUUAUUUUAAUUUCCAUAAUAGAAUAAUACUUUUUGGAUAUUUUUCUCUCAAGUUUAGAGAGGGUUUUUCGGGAGACUUGAAGAAAGAAGGAUUUCAUCUUUCCCAAGUUGGAAGUGGGUCUUCUCCAUUCUUCUUCCUUUGCUUAAAUUAAGGUUUAAUUUCUUAUACCCAUUUGAUUUUACUAUCAUUUUAGGUGUAUUUUGUUAUUUCUUGAUGUGUGGCUAAAAACCCUUUCACCUAGUAGUUGUGGUUUAAUCUAAAGGGUUUGUAGUUGCAAAUACAAAGCCACCCAUGUCUUUUCGGCUUGCCCGAGAGGGAGGUCGCAAAACCAAGACCACUGACCUAAGGGUGGUAACGGGUCUGGGUUUGGUAGGUCGGAACGACUGGAAUCAGGAUGACUCUAGUCGGGUUUCUUCCGGGACUAGGAUCAAUCGGGUCGCGAUAUUCGGGAUGAAAUGGAAGUCCCCUCCUGUCACUUCUGAGCCAACACCUUAGAUGUGGCCGACACUUGAGAACCAUUGUUGGUCCUCAAGCGAACCCUUAGCAUGGCUAACUACUUAGCGAAAAACUAACUCAAGCAGAAUCAAGCUUUAAACAGAAUUAGACCUUUUAAUCUCAAAGUACUCGAAUGUCUCAAAAUACUCCAAAAACAAGAAUUGUUGAAAUACAAUUUAACAAAGAAAUACAAAAAAUAUAUUCAAAACUAAAUAUCUAUGAAGCCUCUGUUGUUCCAGAUGGAAGUUGAGACAAGAUCCACGACACCUCAAAAUAACUAACUAAAAGAUAAAAGUAGAGUCUUCUAGAAUGCAAGGAGGCUCACCAAAGCUAACUGGAAGUGCAAGUGAUCUCAACGAAGCGCCUGUUGAUGAUCCUGAACACCUGUAUAUGUAUUAUAAAACGAUACAGGUCGAAUGCUAUCAGUACAUUGAAUGUAUGAGUAUGUAAUAUCGCGAAAGAAAAUACCUGAAUGAUUGGACUACAAUAGAUAUAAAUAUAUACUCAACUUUAAGUAAAGAAAUAAAAGAGUGAAAACAUUUAAACUUUACAAAUACUUACUCAUCUCUGAACUCAACAUAUUAAGUGAUAUGAUAAAAAUACACUUUUAACCCUAUCUAGGAGAUUUUCUAACCGAUGACCAUCACUAUGAGCAACGCAAUGGUACAACGUCUCGCUCAUGCUGCUAGAACUGUCCUAUACCUUGCGGGGAUAUAGAACAUCUCAACUAAGUGGAUCCACUAAGGCUCUGCUUGAAAGCAAUAAGGAGUCGUCUAAAAAGUACGAUCUUUUACCCAUGUUGGCUACAUGGUUUAUGAGGAAUGUGAGUUGUCUGAACUCAUCCUCAUAUCAGUGCUCAAUACUACUCCCAAUAAAUAUAUACUCAUGCUAAAAUGUAUAAAACAUAUUCUUUCUCAAUUUUGAGGUAAUUUCUCAAAAUAUCCUCUUUAAAGAGGUAAUGCUCUGAAAUAUCUCUAAACUCGUUAACUCAUUUAGAAAUCAAAAUAUCUUUUUUCUCAAUGUAAAAAAGUGAUACAUUUGGGAAUACUUAGUUCCCUUAUACUCUUACUCAAAUCAUGUUUAAAUCUCUUUCUCAAAACUCAUCUUUACUUUCUC
rnacentral:lncRNA from 1 species